rnacentral:rRNA from 1 species
ACAGUUCGGUCUCUAUCUGUUGUGGGCGCAGGAGAUUUGCGAGGACCCGACACUAGUACGAGAGGACCGUGUUGGACAGACCACCGGUGUACCGGUUGUCCCGCCAGGGGCACCGCCGGGUAGCCGCGUCUGGCAAGGAUAAGUGCUGAAAGCAUCUAAGCACGAAGCCCCCCUCAAGAUAAGAUCUCCAUAUAGGGUCGUUAAAGACGAUGACGUAGAUAGGUCGCAGGUGUACGUGUGGUAACACAUUCAGCCGAGCGAUACUAAUCACCCGAACCCUUUCAAGGA